rnacentral:rRNA from 1 species
GGAUGCGAUCAUAGCAGCACUAAAGCACCGGAUCCCAUCAGAACUCCGAAGUUAAGCGUGCUUGGGCGAUAGUAGUACUAGGAUGGGUGACCUCCUGGGAAGUCCUCGUGUUGCAUUCC